rnacentral:rRNA from 1 species
CGGUGUUCAACUGGCGUGUCCGCGGGACGUCCUCCCGGUGGGCUUAGCCCGCAAGGGCGGCCCAACUUCAAAUCCCAUCGCGGUGCUCUUCACUGAGUGUCGAGGUGGGCCGGCACGUUUACUUUGAACAAAUUAGAGUGCUUAAAGCAGGCUAAAACUUCGCCUGAAUACUGUGUGCAUGGAAUAAUGGAAUAGGACCUCGGUUCUAUUUUGUUGGUUUUCGGAACCCCGAGGUAAUGAUUAAUAGGAACGGAUGGGGGCAUUCGUAUUGCGACGUUAGAGGUGAAAUUCUUGGAUCGUCGCAAGACGGACAGAAGCGAAAGCAUUUGCCAAAAACGCUUUCAUUGAUCAAGAACGAAAGUUAGAGGUUUGAAGGCGAUCAGAUACCGCCCUAGUUCUAACCAUAAACGAUGCCAGCUAGCGAUCCGUCGACGUUCCUCCGAUGACUCGACGGGCAGCUUCCGGGAAACCAAAGCUUUUGGGUUCCGGGGGAAGUAUGGUUGCAAAGCUGAAACUUAAAGGAAUUGACGGAAGGGCACCACCAGGAGUGGAGCCUGCGGCUUAAUUUGACUCAACACGGGAAACCUCACCAGGCCCGGACACCUGAAGGAUUGACAGAUUGAGAGCUCUUUCUUGAUUCGGUGGGUGGUGGUGCAUGGCCGUUCUUAGUUGGUGGAGCGAUUUGUCUGGUUAAUUCCGAUAACGAACGAGACUCUAGCCUGCUAACUAGGCGUAUUUUCGACAUCUCAAAGGUCCGUCGUCCCGGCCCUCGGGUCGUGGGCGUGCGCGAUUUUUACUGUCGGCGUACUAUCAAUUCUUCUUAGAGGGACAGGUGGCUUCUAGCCGCACGAGAUUGAGCAAUAACAGGUCUGUGAUG